rnacentral:rRNA from 1 species
AUUUUAGAGGAAGUAAAAGUCGUAACAAGGUUUCCGUUGGUGAACCAGCGGAGGGAUCAUU